ACUUUAUGGUUCGGGCAUUGAACGAGUUUCUUAUUGAACCUUUUCCAUACCUCAUAUAAGGUCUCACUACUAAGUUAAUGAAAAUUUGUGAUUUCGUCUCUUAGUU
rfam:Capsicum annuum cultivar Zunla-1 chromosome 5, whole genome shotgun sequence